UACGGGGGGAGCAAGCGUUGUUCGGAUUUACUGGGCGUAAAGGGCGCGUAGGCGGCCAGCACAAGUCAGUUGUGAAAUCUCCGGGCUUAACUCGGAAAGGUCAACUGAUACUGUGCGGCUAGAGUGCAGAAGGGGCAACUGGAAUUCUCGGUGUAGCGGUGAAAUGCGUAGAUAUCGAGAGGAACACCUGCGGCGAAGGCGGGUUGCUGGGCUGACACUGACGCUGAUGCGCGAAAGCUAGGGGAGCAAACGGG
rnacentral:rRNA from 1 species